rnacentral:rRNA from 1 species
UAGGGAAUCUUCCACAAUGGGCGCAAGCCUGAUGGAGCAACACCGCGUGAGUGGAGAAGGGUUUCGGCUCGUAAAGCUCUGUUGUUAAAGAAGAACACGUAUGAGAGUAACUGUUCAUACGUUGACGGUAUUUAACCAGAAAGUCACGGCUAACUACGUGCCAGCAGCCGCGGUAAUACGUAGGUGGCAAGCGCUAUCCGGAUUUAUUGGGCGUAAAGAGAGUGCAGGCGGUUUUCUAAGUCUGAUGUGAAAGCCUUCGGCUUAACCGGAGAAGUGCAUCGGAAACUGGAUAACUUGAGUGCAGAAGAGGGUAGUGGAACUCCAUGUGUAGCGGUGGAAUGCGUAGAUAUAUGGAAGAACACCAGUGGCGAAGGCGGCUACCUGGUCUGCAACUGACGCUGAGACUCGAAAGCAUGGGUAGCGAACAGGAUUAGAUACCCUGGUAGUCCAUGCCGUAAACGAUGAGUGCUAGGUGUUGGAGGGUUUCCGCCCUUCAGUGCCGGAGCUAACGCAUUAAGCACUCCGCCUGGGGAGUACGACCGCAAGGUUG